UUCUUUGUGCGUUCAUUGCAGAAAAAUAUAUACACUGCUAACCAACUACAGAAGGCAGUAACUUCAUAGGAGAUAAGAGCUACACUUUCUGAACUUCCAACAGGUGAUGCUCGUCGAACCAAUAAUAAAGCCACAAGUGCUAACCGCUAACAUGCAUCAUUCGGUUCGAACAAAAACUGAUGUGUAAUCUAAUAUUGUCCAUCAUGAGGCAUCACCAGAUAAAUAAAAGAAGAGAACGUCAGUGAGUAGGUGCACAGAUAAACAAAAUUUGGAAUCGUGUGAAGGUAUAAAAGGUACCAGUACAGUUCAGUAGAGCUGUAAGCAUUGCUUGCAAUCCAU